rnacentral:lncRNA from 1 species
AAUUUUCGAACAAGUAAUGGCUAUUAUGCUGGAUGUAUUCAAUGCCAGUCACAUAUAAAAUUGUCCAUCUCAGUAUAAGUAACUAUGGAGAGUAACAGACACAAGAUGUCAUGCAUUGGCCCAUACUAGUUAAAGAGCCAUCAUCAUUUUAUCACUUGGCUAAUUCCUCGGGAGUUUUCUCUUUUUAUUUCCUUAUACUAUAUGAAUGCUAUUUUAUCCUAUGAGCCGGGGGUCGAUUGGAAACAGCCUCUCUGCCCUUUCGGGUAGGGGUAAUUUAUUUUUGUUUUAUUGUUGUUUUUCCUUUUAUCCUAUAAGCCGAUGGUCGAUUGGAAACAGCAUCUCUGCCCUUUCGGGUAGGGGUAAGGUUUGUCUACAUAUUAUCCUCCCCAGACCCCACCUGGUGGGAGUAUACUGGGUAGCUGUUGUUGUUGUUGUUCACAAAGUCCACUUUCAUAGAUGUUGACACAAAUCUUGAUUUCAUUGUUUAACCUUAUGUAACUUCCCAAGAUACUCUACCGGGCUGCAGAUUCUCUCAGGUAGCCAAAAAGAUAAGAAAGUUUCUAAUGACAAGGUGGGAACUCUUUGGAUGAUAUGGUAGCCAAUUUAGCCAAAAUGAUGAGUUGGUAGCCUAAAAGAUUACCGGUUCGAACCGUGAAAGCAGUUUACAUCAUAUUCUUUGGUUGGAGGGAUGCCCUUUGAUGAGUUGGUAGCCUAUUUCUUCUAAAAGGCUUUAAGAUUUUUUGGUGAUCUACUUUAUCUGCUCAGUGCAAAAUUGAAUACAUGUGAUGCUGCCCCAAACACUAAUAAUGACACCCAAAUACACAACUUCCUUUGUCAAUACUCAGUUGGGUUGUCAGAUUCUCCCACUUUGUGUUUCCUUUACUACAUUCACACUUUACUCCCAAUACUAGAUUUUUGUGGAACUGUUGAUUAAUUUGCUUUAUUAUUUCUCCACAUAUAUAAGUAAUUAUUAUAGAGUUUAAGUUUUAUGUACUCACGGUCAAAAUGUACUUACA